ACACAUGCAAGUCGAGGGGCAGCGCGGGAUAGCAAUAUCCUGGCGGCGACCGGCGGAAGGGUGCGUAACGCGUGAGCGACAUGCCUGUUGCCCGGGGACAACCGGUGGAAACGCCGACUAAUCCCCGAUGGGAUACGAUGCUUCAUGGCAUUGUAUUGAAAGUUACGGCGGCGACGGAUUGGCUCGCGUCCGAUUAGCUUGUUGGCGGGGUAACGGCCCACCAAGGCUACGAUCGGUAGGGGUUCUGAGAGGAAGGCCCCCCACAAUGGGACUGAGACACGGCCCAUACUCCUACGGGAGGCAGCAGUGAGGAAUAUUGGUCAAUGGGCGGAAGCCUGAACCAGCCAUGCCGCGUGCGGGAAGGAGGCCCUAUGGGCUGUGAACCGCUUUUGCCUGGGGGCAAUAAGGGCGUCGCGCACGUCCGAUGAGAGUACCAGGCGAAUAAGCAUCGGCUAACUCCGUGCCAGCAGCCGCGGUAAUACGGGGGAUGCGAGCGUUAUCCGGAUUCAUUGGGUUUAAAGGGUGCGUAGGCUGUGCGUCAAGUCGGGGGUGAAAUUCCGGUGCUCAACACCGGGGCUGCCCUUGAUACUGUCGCGCUGGAGUGCGGAUGCCGCCGGAGGAAUGAGUGGUGUAGCGGUGAAAUGCUUAGAUAUCACUCAGAACACCGAUUGCGAAGGCAUCUGGCGAAUCCGUAACUGACGCUGAGGCACGAAAGCGUGGGGAUAGAACAGGAUUAGAUACCCUGGUAUUCCACGCCGUAAACGAUGAUGGCUAACCGCCGGCGACACACUGUCGGUGGCCAAGCGAAAGCGAUAAGCCAUCCACCUGGGG
rnacentral:rRNA from 1 species